rnacentral:rRNA from 1 species
AACGAACGCUGGCGGCAUGCCUAACACAUGCAAGUCGAACGAUGCCUUCGGGCAUAGUGGCGCACGGGUGCGUAACGCGUGGGAAUCUGCCCUUGGGUUCGGAAUAACUCAGAGAAAUUUGAGCUAAUACCGGAUGAUGACGUAAGUCCAAAGAUUUAUCGCCCAAGGAUGAGCCCGCGUAAGAUUAGCUAGUUGGUGGGGUAAAGGCCUACCAAGGCGACGAUCUUUAGCUGGUCUGAGAGGAUGAUCAGCCACACUGGGACUGAGACACGGCCCAGACUCCUACGGGAGGCAGCAGUGGGGAAUAUUGGACAAUGGGCGAAAGCCUGAUCCAGCAAUGCCGCGUGAGUGAUGAAGGCCUUAGGGUUGUAAAGCUCUUUUACCAGGGAUGAUAAUGACAGUACCUGGAGAUAAGCUCCGGCUAACUCCGUG